rnacentral:misc_RNA from 1 species
GAUGAAGAACGUAGCGAAAUGCGAUAAGUAAUGUGAAUUGCAGAAUUCAGUGAAUCAUCGAAUCUUUGAACGCACAUUGCGCCCGGCAGUACUCUGCCGGGCAUGUCUGUUCGAGCGUCAUUUCAACCCUCAAGCCCUGCUUGGUGUUGGGGCCCCACGGCUGCCGUGGGCCCUGAAAGGAAGUGGCGGGCUCGCUACAACUCCGAGCGUAGUAAUUCAUUAUCUCGCUUAGGGCGUUGGGCGGCGCUCCAGCCGUUAAAGAACCAUCUUUAACUCAAGGUUGACCUCGGAUCAGGUAGGAAUACCCGCUGAACUUAAGCAUAUCAAUAAGCGGAGGA